rnacentral:lncRNA from 1 species
AACCGACUACUUACCUUAAAAAUGUAUUUCAAUUUGCAAGUACAUUAUUAGUUUCAGUGAUGAAGUUGAUACUUACAGUAGUCAUAGCUGCUUUUACAUUCGGCUUUGUUGAAUGUGAAUUUCCUUGUGGAAAGGAAUUGAAUGCUUGUACAAAUUCGACUGGUGAAACCUCAAUUCCUUGGCAAGCUUAUACAAUAAGAAGUUAUUCAAUCAAUAGAAAAUGGUAUAAUGUCACCUGUAAUGCCAUUAUCCUAAAUAAAAACAUGUUCUUUCUUUACAAUAUUGUCUUAGUAAAUAUGAUUCAACAGAUAGAAUUUCCGUACAUGUUGGGGAUGGAACCAAGUACAGUGUGGAAAUUGUAUAUAUAAAAACUUAGAUCUUAACAAUCUUACUCCUAUUAAAAUAGCUAUUGCUAGAAUUCAAGGAAAUAUGACUUUCACAAAUCAAAUGUAUGCUGUAUGUUUACCCAGUCAAUCGAUAAGUUUAGAACAACAUCAUUUAUAUGGAAACAUAUGGGGUAGUCAAGGAGUCCAUGAAAAGAAAGGCAUUUACACAAAUAUUGACAAAUCUUCACAAGAAUGCAAGAAUCCGACUUUGGAAAGACUGCCUCGUGAUGAUGAGAAAUGUAUACAUCGUAUACAGGG